rnacentral:rRNA from 1 species
CUAAGUUUGAUGGCGACCGGCGCACGGGUGAGUAACACGUAUCCAACCUGCCGAUGACUCGGGGAUAGCCUUUCGAAAGAAAGAUUAAUACCCGAUGGCAUAGUUCUUCCGCAUGGUAGAACUAUUAAAGGAUUUCGGUCAUCGAUGGGGAUGCGUUCCAUUAGGUUGUUGGCGGGGUAACGGCCCACCAAGCCUUCGAUGGAUAGGGGUUCUGAGAGGAAGGUCCCCCACAUUGGAACUGAGACACGGUCCAAAGUCCUACGGGAGGCAGCAU